rnacentral:rRNA from 1 species
UACGUAGGGAGCAAGCGUUGUCCGGAAUCAUUGGGCGUAAAGCGCGCGUAGGCGGCCCUGUAAGUCCGUUGUGAAAGUCAAAGGCUCAACCUUUGAAAGCCGAUGGAUACUGUAGGGCUAGAGUCCGGAAGAGGCGAGUGGAAUUCCUGGUGUAGCGGGUGGAAUGCGCAGAUAUCAGGAGGAACACCAAUAGCGAAGGCAGCUCGCUGGGACGGUACUGACGCUAAGGCGCGAAAGCGUGGGGAGCGAACAGG